UUUCGCUAGUGACUGGCCCCCAAAUCUGCCGCUGUUUUCUAAGAAAAGUCCGCUAUUAGUUUGGCCAAAAAGAAAAUUCCUCAUUAAUAAAAUGUCCCCAUUGAUUUCGGAUGUGUACUUCCUUGAAUUUCAUCGUAAAUGGUGCUGAAAAUUAAAAUUGUGACUCUUGUAAAAUUAUUUUGAAUUGACCCGCUAAUAGAGAAAAGAGAAAGGAGCCUACACACUAAGAUUGCAAUUAUUCCGCUCGGGACCAUGAUCCUCUGAAUUACAGGAAAACAGCUCAAAAUGACACUUGGAAUUGUCAAAAACAAGUGUUUUCCUGGGCCACGGGUAGAUAGCUAACCGAAUCACGUGACAAACCCUUGAUCCUGAAAUUCAAAGGGAAUUUCCUUUCGAGUGUUCAGGAAAACGAACAAAUUCAGGAUAGAAGUCUCCUGUAUCUCGCGACGUUGCUAAAUGACAGUUGUGGUGGUUUCGAAAUGUGUUUUUUGCAGACUUUAUUAGCUCGCUGUUGGUUUCAUCGUGGAAGUGAAACCGUCUUCCCGAAAAAGGUUAGUUGCUGAAGUCCGGGCUGGAGGAACAGUUCUCCCCGAAGGAUCCUCCAGCGCAGUUAUAUGCCAAAAAAUCAACUGCCCGCCGAAUGGUUCUCCGUCGUUCAACUCGUGGCCCAGUUCGUGGCAUGAUUCCACCGUCAAACAUGUGGUUGAGCUGGCGACCAGCAGCGACGUCGUUAUUUUAUUAACAAAACUUUUACUAAUAAUAUGCUUCUCAUUAAGAACAAUAAAAGUUUAUUGAUUUGAAAAAUAUUAAAUUUUUAAUUUUCUACAUUAUUCCAUUCCAAUUUCAAUGUAAACAUCGAAAGAAAACAGUCCUGAGCCUACAGGAUAGAUCGAAAACUUUCUGCAAAUCACAGGAGAAAGCUGUUGCGAGCCUACAGGGCAUGGUUUUCCUGAGCUAUUUUGCUGUCCUGAAAUCGUCCUGUAAUUUCAGCUGUUGAAAAUACAGGACGAAAUCGUUCCGACCACAGGAGAAAAGAUUAAG